rnacentral:rRNA from 1 species
GGAGUAAAGUAGGGGAUCGAAAGACCUUGCGCUUAAGGAGCGGCCGAUGUCUGAUUAGCUAGUUGGUGGGGUAAAGGCCUACCAAGGCGACGAUCAGUAGUUGGUCUGAGAGGACGACCAACCACACUGGGACUGAGACACGGCCCAGACUCCUACGGGAGGCAGCAGUGGGGAAUUUUGGACAAUGGGCGCAAGCCUGAUCCAGCCAUGCCGCGUGAGUGAAGAAGGCCUUCGGGUUGUAAAGCUCUUUCAGUUGGGAAGAAACGAUUGCAACUAAUAAUUGUAAUUAAUGACGGUACCGACAGAAGAAGCACCGGCUAACUACGUGCCAGCAGCCGCGGUAAUACGUAGGGUGCGAGCGUUAAUCGGAAUUACUGGGCGUAAAGGGUGCGCAGGCGGUUUUGUAAGUCAGAUGUGAAAUCCCCGGGCUUAACCUGGGAAUGGCGUUUGAAACUACAAAGCUAGA